CCUUUUUAAACCCAAUGUUCAGCUUGUUGGAAUCUCUUUUGUGCUUGCAAAUCCAAUGCUAUUGGGAUGUAAUUACCACAUAUCUGUUCAGUCAGAAUCAGAUAUUCCUCUUCCCUGGCAAUACCCCGUGAUCACGCAGAGGGCAACAUGCCCAAUCCAGGGCACCGUUUACCUCAGCCACCCCCAAGACAUCAGCAACCUGCAUGUUUGAAUUCAUCCAGUGGCCCCCUCUCCCUGCAGAUCCCCACUCCAUCCCAUCAUUUCCAGGGUGUCACGGUGUGGACAUCCCCUCUCCAUGAGCUCAAAGCGAUUAUAUUAUCAUGAAUCGUCUGGAGCUGCUUUUGUUUUUAGUUUUUGGCUUUGCUUACAGUUGGUUUAACAACUGAUUGUUCCUCUGUUGGCUGUUUUUCCCAUGAAGAAAUGUUUUAGGAAAUUUCAAAAACUUUAUUUAACGUAAUGAACGUAAUUAAAUCGUUUUGGGGAUUGAGUGAUAUAAUGUACCUCCAAGAUAUCAUUUGGCUUUUUCUUUUAAGUAUUAUACUUAUUUAUUUCCAACCCAUGUUUAGAUUUUGAAUCUUGUAAUGUACACUAAUGUAGAUUGAAUCUUGUAAUGUACACUUAUUUGUAUGUACAAAGUAUUUGUGUACAUGUUUUGGUCAAUUUGUUAUAUUUUUUAUACUCUUUUCCCAUGAACAGUGAAGUAUUGCAGUUUGGCUGAACAAAGUGCCACUGAUGCAUGAUCAAUGUGUCUUCUUCAAACAAUAAAAAUCUGUUCAUAUUCUGAAA